rnacentral:lncRNA from 1 species
CCGAACCAAUAUAACUCAAGAAUGCAUACUGAUAUAGAUAUUCUACCAUCAGCAUCAGUAUAUCCUCCCACUCUUAGCUCUAAUCCUUCUUCAAAAAUUAGGAACUAACCCUUAGUGCUUCUCAAGUACUUAGAGAGGUUUUCACAGCAAUCUAAUGCUCCCAGCUUGGAUUUGACUGGUAUCUGCUCGUGACUCUCAUAGCAAGAGAUAUAUCA